GAUGAACGCUGGCGGCGUGCCUAAUACAUGCAAGUCGAGCGAACAGAUAAGGAGCUUGCUCCUUUGACGUUAGCGGCGGACGGGUGAGUAACACGUGGAUAACCUACCUAUAAGACUGGGAUAACUUCGGGAAACCGGAGCUAAUACCGGAUAACAUAUUGAACCGCAUGGUUCAAUAGUGAAAGGCGGCUUUGCUGUCACUUAUAGAUGGAUCCGCGCCGUAUUAGCUAGUUGGUAAGGUAACGGCUUACCAAGGCAACGAUACGUAGCCGACCUGAGAGGGUGAUCGGCCACACUGGAACUGAGACACGGUCCAGACUCCUACGGGAGGCAGCAGUAGGGAAUCUUCCGCAAUGGGCGAAAGCCUGACGGAGCAACGCCGCGUGAGUGAUGAAGGUCUUCGGAUCGUAAAACUCUGUUAUCAGGGAAGAACAAAUGUGUAAGUAACUGUGCACAUCUUGACGGUACCGGAUCAGAAAGCCACGGCUAACUACGU
rnacentral:rRNA from 1 species